AAUACGAUGAAGAUAAUGAUGAUGAUGGGUUUUUUAAAUUAUUGUUCUAGAUCUGUCAGCAGUGGCUCACACAGUGUUUCUGGAAUUAUAUGGACUGGAGAGAGAUCUGUCAUUAUAUUGCUAUUUGUAUUUUCCUUGGCCCAGAUUACCAGAUAUAUAUGUGCAUAUCUGUGUUCAAACAUCUACAACAAGAAAUCCUUCAACAUACCCAGGCUCAGGAUCUUCAAGUUUUUCUUAAAGAAGAAGCACUCCAUGGAUUUCAGGUGAAUAAUUAUGUUGAGUAUAUGGAAAGCUUGGCUCAAACCUACAGACCAAUUCUAUUAAGAGACAUGAGGAAUAUUGGAGUGCCAAGCACGUAGAUCAAGCAGAUGAGCACAUCAUUUCAAAUUUUACUUAUGUACUUUAAGGGGACAGUGAUUGUUUUAUUUCCUUCUCCAUAAAAAAUGUAUUCAUUGUAGCUAUCCUUGCAGCCAAAUCAAUAAGGUUUUUCAGCAUACCAUUUUCACAAGACAACAUCCUCUAAAUUGGAUCAUCUGAAAAAUAAUGUGUUUUUUUAGCCAGGUGUCAUUGUUUGUUUACACUUGGUUUCAGAAAUUAGUUUUGAAUUACUUAAAUGUUCUGUUUAUAUUUUCCAAGAAGCAGUGUCUACACUAUUAAACUUUGCUUCCUAACAUUUCUAAAUUGCUGAAGGUUCAGUAGUAAGGAACAAGAAUGUGCACAUAACUUCUGAGCGCUGCAAAAAUUAGCUUGGGAGGUCAAAAAAUAAAAUAUACUGAGUGGUCCAGUUUGAAGUGUAAUGAAAGAUUUGUUAUUGGUUUUUGCUGUAAAUAUUUUUUUAAAAAAUAGUACUGUACACUCUAAACCAUUUACUUGAAGUUGUAGAAGGGAGUAAAUUAACACUUCUGUAGAUUUGUUAAUACAAAUGUAGAUUUUAUUCUGCUUUAUUGAAACUAAAUGUAAAAAAAUAAAACUUUGGGAACAUA